rnacentral:rRNA from 1 species
AUUGAACGCUGGCGGCAGGCCUAACACAUGCAAGUCGGACGGUAGCACAGAGAGCUUGCUCUUGGGUGACGAGAGGCGGACGGGUGAGUAAUGUCUGGGGAUCUGCCCGAUAGAGGGGGAUAACCACUGGAAACGGUGGCUAAUACCGCAUAACGUCGCAAGACCAAAGAGGGGGACCUUCGUGCCUCUCACUAUCGGAUGAACCCAGAUGGGAUUAGCUAGGAGGCGGGGUCAUGGCCCACCUAGGCGACGAUCCCUAGCUGGUCUGAGAGGAUGACCAGCCACACUGGAACUGAGACACGGUCCAGACUCCUACGGGAGGCAGCAGUGGGGAAUAUUGCACAAUGGGCGCAAGCCUGGUGCAGCCAUGCCCCGUGUAUGAAGAAGGCCUUAGGGUUGUAAAGUACUUUCAGCGGGGAGGAAGGCGGUGAGGUUAAUAACCUUGCCGAUUGACGUUACCCGCAGAAGAAGCACCGGCUAACUCCGUGCCAGCCGCCGCAGUAA